GGCAAGAUGGCCGAGUUGGUCCAAGGCGUCAGGUUUAGGUCCACCUAAAUAAAUCAGCUUGUUUGAGAUAAAACAAUAAAGCUUCCUGAUCAUCUUUCGAUGGCGUGGGUUCGAAUCCCACUCUUGUCA
rnacentral:tRNA from 1 species